AAACAGUGCCGGGUGCAACCUCUUGAGCAAAAGGCCUUGAAAGAACAUGCUGCAGCUUCAAUUCAGGGGCUGGACAAGACAUGGAGGCCUGUAAAUGUUGUCUGGAUAUAGAAAUUGGCACUGCAUGGGAGUUCUGUUCAUUAAAAGGAGCUGUUCUGAACAAGUAUUUUCUUAAGUUAUCUUCUAUUUCCUGGCUUCGUUCCAAACCAGAGGAGUGGUAUCAACAGUCUACAAGCUGCUGCUGAGAUUUUUCUUCCAUUGGCAACCAGAAAGGAGAUGCUGAAUGUUUAUGCAUUCAGUCUCCCCCAACUUUAUCUGUCUUAGGAUUCUCCAGGCUUCCUGGACUUCAUGAUUGCCUGUUCCAGCUCCACUGCCCUGCAUUAAGGAAGACAGGGAUAGAGAGAGCCCCCUAGCUGCUCUGUGCACUCUCUCUUCCUCCAGCACCCGGUUCCUGGGUGCCAUUCUCUCCCAGCGUGAGCUAUGUUUGCAUGUAUUUGGGAACAAGGGGAUGAAGCAAUGUCAGGACUCAAGACUGACCAAUUUCUAUGUAACUCUGGCCACCGUUAGGCCAAAGGAACCCAAGCUUCCAUACACACUAAAGAGUCAAAGGACAUAGGAAGCUCUAACAUGGAAAGAAGUUGCAUUGAAGCAUGGUAGCUGUCUGCAAAAGAGCUCCUUACAUCCUUAAGAAACUUAGAUCUGGAACCAUCCUAAAGGGAAAAGAAAGUAACAGACUGGAAUUUGGAACACUUGUUCAUUUAAAUUGAAUUUGCAGAUUUAGAACUGGAUAAAAAUAACAUUUGGAGACUCUAUUUUUCAUCAUCCUUACUGAGUAGCUGGGAAUAUCUGCAAUCUGCAAUGAUAUCUAAAGUGAUACUGAACAUAUAAAAGGAAGGCUUCCUCAGAUGUUCACACCUCUAUACCCCCAAGAAAUUAAACAAGGAAGGUGACUCUAAGAAACACAGUAAAGCAGCCAGCCAAAGCCAUUUCACUUCUCCUGCUAUUGGAGGGAGUUCUUUUGAAACAUGAAAAUGUAGGCUCAUGGAACGUGGAUGAAGAUGAAUUCACAUGAAGCUGGCUAUCUAGCCUGGACCCCUACACAGUUUCAGAGAACCCUCCUCAUGUUCUCUCCGCUCAUCAGGCACCAGGUUGGAUUCAUGAGGUCACUUCUCCACCCUGCUCAGGGCCGCACAAGGGACAAGUUACUCACUGGGCACCCAGCAGUGCACGGAGUCAAAGCCAGCAGGAAGCAGCUGCAGUGGACCCGUGGGAAGGGCAUGAGAAAGGAGGAACAGGAAUUGGUCUGCUUGAGACAGCAAAGAUCUCUCAAAGAAAAAAGCCUGAUCAGAGCCCAUUACAGCACAAGCUGCAAAAGACCACUCCCCUUGAAUGCACUCUUUUGAACGUGUUGCCUGGAAACAGACCAGUCAAUCAAGGAACAAUGAUAAGUAGACUUCCUUUCCUAGAUAGGUGUGGGGGUCCCACCCACCACAGCCCAAAGGCUAAUGCAAAGGUUGAAGCUUCUCUAUGAUAUGAAUGUUCAGGGAACCAACUUGGGCCAGGGCAACGCUAAUUUGAAUCUUAAGUUAUGCAGCUUUAUGGCUGAGUGGCCUUCAUCCAUUUGAAUGUCACCUGUUUAUCUAAAAAUGUGCAAGUAGUUUUCUAAUGCCAUUAAUGAGAGAAGACACAGAAAGCAUUUAUCACUGUGGUUGGCACAUGGUAAGCACACAUGUAUGUAAUUGACACACAGUGAAUAAUACUCCUUACCACUGCUGUUAAAUUGAAUUUACAGGAGACCACUAUGGUUUGAAUGCCCUAUCCAAAGAUCAUGCACAAAUCUUAUUUGCAUUACAAGAUAUUAAGAGAUGGGACAGGUUGGGAUCUUUAAGACAUCAUUAGGCUGUAAGGGUUCUGCUCUCAUGAAUGGGUGAGUCCAUUCUUGAAUUAAUAAGUUACCUUGAGACUGAAUCUCAAGACUGGUAUAAAAGCCAAGUUUGUCCUCAUUUCUUGUAGAUGUGCUCACCUGUUCAUAUGAUGUCCUGUGACACCUCACUACUCUGUACAACUCAACCUUCAUAUACAUGAACAGGCAAAACCUUUAUUCUACUGUGUAGUAUUUAGGUGCAGCAACAGAAAACUAAGGCAGAUUAUCAUUGAUUUGGACUGAGCUCCUGAAAUCAGCCCUCAAUGGAUUAACUCAAAAUCAGCAUCUAAGAUGCUGAUCACAGGCUGAAGCCUGGACUAUGUGUUUAUAAGAUCUGUGGGCAGUUAGAAGAGAGGCCAUUGCCAACUCCCUAAACAAGCCAGCAGGAGGAAGUUCCCUUUGCUCUAACCCUGACAAGGAAAGUUACCUAAGGCAAAUUGAUGUUAACCAAUCUACUGCUGUUUAAUAUCAUUAUUCACGCUCCCUCAAAAAACCCAGAUGUUCUGCCAGAUCAUCAGAGAGCCUUUGUAUUUUAUGGAUACGAGGCUGCCCAAUUCAUGAAUCAUUAACAGAAUCCCAUUGUGUUAUUAUACUGAAUUUUUAAAUUAAGAAACUGAUUUUUAAAGUUCUGGUGUGCAUUGUUUGACUCUAUUAAUUAUGAAGAUGAUCUGCUCUUGGUCUGAGGUCUGAGCUGCCUACUACUAAGAAAUCAAUAGUCUGGAGAUGAGCAUUGGGCAGAUGGGGGUGCUUCUGUCUUACUAGCCCUCCAUCUCUGGCUGUGCCAUGGGCACAAAGGGACUGUGAAGGAAAGGAGAGGAUAGCAGAGGUGAGGUGAAGGGAGGGCAGGGAAGAUAACUUCAUGUAGUCACUGGGCAUUUGUCAUUAACAAAUGUCCUGUUGAAUUAUUCCUUGAAACCCAUGUAGCCACAGAAUUAACUAUGGAUGAACUAAGUUCACUCCCACAUGAGGAACAACCAUAUGCAGGUAUGUGAACAAUAAACAUACUUGAUCAGCAUUUGUCUUUUUAGAUGCACAGGCAAGACCAGAUCAAGACACGCUCAUUUAUGGCCAACCACCUUGUGCAAAAAUGUAAAUAACGCUAAAUGUUAGGGUCAGCUGCCCCUAGAAAUACAAGACAUGUAAAUAAAUAGUGUUCUCCAACGUUUGCAAUGAUAUCCUAUUCCAAACACCUCUAGAAGACGUUAUUAUCAUCAUCCUUGUUUUGAUGUCCCAUCCUGCACUGUUAGAACAGUGCCUCUGUUUCUGGGAAGCCAGUGGCUGCCUGGCCCCCUUGCUAUGCUCUGCUCUGUAGCACAGGGCUGAAGCUAUUUCCUGCUGGAAAUACUAACGCUGCUUCCUUUCUGUACUUUUUCCUUCUCACCUAUGGAAUGGGACGAAAUGCCUUACUCUGUGAAGUGAAGGAAAACACCAGGGAGCAUGCACACAGCUAAAAGAUUCUCUUCACCAGAUGGAGCCCCAAGGAAGAGCCUGAGAGUGAUGUAUCUCCCCUGAUCCUCCCUAAAGUCUAGCUGAAGCUUUGGUUCUAAUUGUGUGGAGGGGAUUAUGUAGGGAUGGGGAUGCGAAUGUCAGGGGAAGUGAGUGGAAUGAAGCACCACCUUAACUCCAGGCACUCAAUUAUCUCUGUUCUAGGCAAGACAGUCUCUUGUUUUAUUUCUU